AUUGAACGCUGGCGGCAGGCCUGACACAUGCAAGUCGAGCGGCAGCACAAGGGAGUUUACUCCUGAGGUGGCGAGCGGCGGACGGGUGAGUAAUGCCUAGGGAUCUGCCCAGUCGAGGGGGAUAACAGUUGGAAACGACUGCUAAUACCGCAUACGCCCUACGGGGGAAAGAGGGGGACCUUUAGGCCUCUCGCGAUUGGAUGAACCUAGGUGGGAUUAGCUAGUUGGUGAGGUAAUGGCUCACCAAGGCGACGAUCCCUAGCUGUUCUGAGAGGAUGAUCAGCCACACUGGGACUGAGACACGGCCCAGACUCCUACGGGAGGCAGCAGUGGGGAAUAUUGCACAAUGGGGGAAACCCUGAUGCAGCCAUGCCGCGUGUGUGAAGAAGGCCUUCGGGUUGUAAAGCACUUUCAGUAGGGAGGAAAGGGUGAGUCUUAAUACGGCUCAUCUGUGACGUUACCUACAGAAGAAGGACCGGCUAACUCCGUGCCAGCAGCCGCGGUAA
rnacentral:rRNA from 1 species